CCUACGAGAGGCCGCAGUGAGGAAUAUUGGUCAAUGGGCGCGAGCCUGAACCAGCCAAGUAGCGUGAAGGAUGACUGCCCUACGGGUUGUAAACUUCUUUUAUAAAGGAAUAAAGUGAGUCACGUGUGCCUUUUUGUAUGUACUUUAUGAAUAAGGAUCGGCUAACUCCGUGCCAGCAGCCGCGGUUAUACGGCGGAUCCGAGCGUUAUCCGGUUUUAUUGUGUUUAAAGGGAGCGUAGAUGGGUUGUUAAGUCAGUUGUUAAAGUCUGCGGCUCAACCGUAAAAUUGCAAUUGAUACUGGCAGUCUUGAGUACAGUUGAGGUAGGCGGAAUUCGUGGUGUAGCGGUGAAAUGCUUAGAUAUCACGAAGAACUCCGAUUGCGAAGGCAGCUUACUAAACUGCAACUGACAUUGAUGCUCGAAAGUGUGGGUAUCAAACAGGAUUAGAUACCCUAGUAGUC
rnacentral:rRNA from 1 species